AUGAAAGAAGGUCAGGAAACACACAAAGGGUUCAGCUACAGAGAGGGGUACAUUUGUUCAAAAGGAGGCUGGUGGUGUCUGAACAAUCAGCAGUUCUUUCCAGCAGUUGAUAAAUGCUUGUGCCGUUUGUCAAAAACAAAACAAAAGUACUUGGCUGCAACUCCGGGGGUUUACUACAGCCUCUGGGUAUUCCGAAGCAGGAGCAUAUAUGGCACUAUAGUUAGAAUUGUUGGCAGAAUAUUUUUUGCUGAGAUUUUGUUGUUCAGUUGCAUGUCUGUAUGA